UCUGUAUAUCGGUAGAAUCUGCAGAGGUUGUAUUAUGAAAUCAUACUUGAAUGAUACCCAGAUAUUUUAAAAAAGAAGUAUUUUCACAUUCCUCCCUCUGGGUAUGUUUUUUUUUUCUCUUAUGUGUGGUUGAUUUCCUGUGGGCUGGGUUCUGAAUUCUAGAAGGUAAAGCUUCAGGAAGGAGCUGUGACAAGUUGCCCGGUUUGAAAUCUCCUGCGUACAUAAUCACUGUAGCGGAUAUAAUUGGAGCUAAUUUCAUAUUUCCUGCAUAUCAUAUUGGAAAAUUGAGCUGUCAUAUCUAUUUAAAGGCUACAUGCCCAAGUGAGAACACCCAAGGCUUGUUUCUUUCAAUACAUUUGUGCAGGAGGAUUUCUUCUCUCAUGAACAUCAAGACUUGUACUAGAAGUCAAAUUUGUCUAGUUGAGUGCACUUUGAAGUUUACAUCUGCAUUGUCUAUGGAAUUUAGAAAAUGGACAGGGGACAAACUGAGAAAGUAAAGCCAUUUUUGAGCUGUCCUUUUCCAUUAAAAAUCCCUGCACUUCCAGAGCGUUUAAAAUUGCGGGUUAUUGUAAGGCCAGUAUGUUACACGUGGGUUCAAGUAGUUCUUGUUCAUCUGCUAUCUGUGUGUCCUCCCAUACCUAUGUAAUCAAAGCAUGGUUAAUAGAAAUGGUUGGGAGCCUGUCAGCUUGCCUUGGAGAGAAAUUAAGCUAUGUUCUUUGAAAGUAUACCCUAGAAGAUAGGAACCCUCAGCUGUGGCACUUAUCAACCAUCUAACCUGUCAACUUCUACAUUCAUGUCCUUUCCCUGUGGCUUUUUCUGACCUUGUUUGCAUCUUGUGUGUUUUCACUAAAGAAGCUUGGCUGGGAGGAAGUGUGUGUGUGUGUGGGGGGGUCUCUAAGUGUACCUUUAUACAAGUAUGUAGGUUAGAGGACAACCUUGAAUACUGUUCCUCAUAAUUGCUACUCAUCCUAUUUUUGAUACCAUCAUCUAGGUGCUUGCCCAUUAGGCUGUGUUUCAACUGUUUAACCUGAGACCAAGGAGUAUAGGAAAUCAUGUGUCCUGUAAGCAAGGUUUGUUUUUUUUUUUUUCCUUCAGUGGAGCAAAUUGCCCUCUUUCAUUUAUGCAGAAUGGAAAGGUGGAAUACAUGGUAGAGUUUCCUCUGAAAGAGUUCUUCCUGAGAGUUCUCUAAUCCUCAGAACCCAUGCCCAGCCGGACCUCACAGAGCAGGGAAUAGUCAUUUGGAAACACUCGAAAUGGUCUUUCCCCAGGCAUUCCUCCCAAGUGUCCACAUCUUAGGCUCUGGCUCUAGUUGAAUGUUCCUAAUGAAUUCUCAUAAGUUCUGGCAUGGAUGCUCCCUCAAACCAAUACAGUGCGUUUACAUGCAUAUCUCUGUGUGGACCAAGAGGAAGAGAAGAACUUCACAUAAACAAUAGGAUAGGAUGGCCCCAGACAAUGAUUGACUUUGCUGGGCUGAGUGUAAAGCUGGAAGAAUCCACAUAAAUGACCAAGAAAGGGAAUCAAGGGGGCAGUUGAAGAGUAGAGUUCUCAGCUUAUAAAGUUGUUUUGGCUCCAGUCAAUCUGUCGGAGGCUAAGCGCUGACUUCUGCCCUAGUUCCUAUUCUUGCCGCUGUAAUCAAGUGCGUGACCAAAGCAUCUUACAGGGGGGUGGGGCACGGAGGGGAGGACGGGUCUGCUGUGGCUCAUAGUUCAGAAUGCACGUUCCUACACAGCAGCAGAGUGGAGAGCCAGUGGCAAAUAGUUUAGUGUCUUCCAAAAAUCGACACUUUCUGUUCCUUUGUGAAUAAAGAAUGCAGAAUAGGUAAAGGAGAUGAGUUAGUUGAUAAUGCCCUCAACAGGACAUCUGGGGAAUAAUGCAGCGCUGUCAUGUUUCCCUGUCCAGCCUGUGCUCAUGUCUCAUCCAAACUCCCAAGCCCUACACAGAAGCCUCACGUUUUCCAGGGCUAAGAGGGCUGAGCUCCAUGCAAACUGGUUGCUCCAAACUUACUCACAUUAAGUUCUCAUUGGUAACUUUGGGGGAAUGGGAAAUAUCUAAUCCUGAACAUAUUUAUUUGUAAAAGUUGAAUUAAGAAGGUUGGUGCCUGGUGAGAUAGCUUACUUGUAGCUUACGUGACAGGACCUGAGAUUAAUCCCCAAGAGCCAUAUUAUCAACAAAUCUAGGCCUGGGUGGUGUACACUGAAUAUAUGUCUCCUAUGGAAUCCAAUUAGUGUGGACCUUAUUUGCAUGUGUUUAUAGCUGACCACCUAGGACUGGGGUCUCUCAUCCCUG
ensembl:sense_intronic Gm38348 predicted gene, 38348